ensembl:rRNA 5S_rRNA 5S ribosomal RNA
GACUACAGCCAUAUCACCCUGCAGCCCAAGACUGGUUAUUCACUGAUGCUAAGCAGGGCUGAGCCUGGUCAGUACCUGGAUGGGAGACCACUAGGGAACACUAGGUUGCUGUUGGAA